rnacentral:SRP_RNA from 1 species
GCCGGGCGUUGUGGCGGGCGCCUGUGGUCCCAGCUACUUGGGAGGCGGAGGCAGGAGACUCGCUUGAGCCCAGGAGUUGGAGGUUGCUGUGAGCGUGAUGCCAUGGCACUCUACCCAGGGGGAAAGCUUGAGGCUCUGUCUCAAAAAAAAAAAAAAAAAAAAAAAGUUGUCCUUUUCUUUUUUUCUUGAGACAGAGCCUUACUAUGUCACCCUUGGUAGAGUGCUGUCAUGACACAGCUCACAGCAACCUCAAACUCUUGAGCUUAAGCUAUUCUCUUGCC